rnacentral:rRNA from 1 species
AACCUAAAGGCGUAAUUAACUUAACUGUUUAUAAUGGGAUCAAUUAUAUAUAUGUUUACAUAUAUAUAUUCCAUCCCGGGGCGUUCUAUAUAGUUAUGUAUUUUAAUAUAUUUUAUAUAUAUUAUAUAUACCUCUAACUAGAGCGUACCUUGAGCAUAUAUGUUGUGACCCGAAAGAUGGUGAACUAUACCUGAUCAGGUUGAAGUCAGGGGAAACCCUGAUGGAAGACCGAAACAGUUCUGACGUGCAAAUCGAUUGUCAGAAUUGGGUAUAGGGGCGAAAGACCAAUCGAACCAUCUAGUAGCUGGUUCCCUCCGAAGUUUCCCUCAGGAUAGCUGGUGCAUUUAAAUAUUAUGUGAAAUAAUCUUAUCUGGUAAAGCGAAUGAUUAGAGGCAUUAGGGCCGAAACGACCUUAACCUAUUCUCAAACUUUAAAUGGGUAAGAACCUCACCUUUCUUGAUAUGAAGGUUGAGGUUGUGAUAUAUUGUGCCCAGUGGGCCACUUUUGGUAAGCAGAACUGGCGCUGUGGGAUGAACCAAACGUGAUGUUACGGCGCCCAAAUUAACAACUCAUACUGAUACCAUGAAAGGCGUUGCUUGCUUAAAACAGCAGGACGGUGGACAUGGAAGUCGUAAUCCGCUAAGGAGUGUGUAACAACUCACCUGCCGAAGCAACUAGCCCUUAAAAUGGAUGGCGCUCAAGUUGUAUGCCUAUACAUCACCGCUAAAAUAUAUGAUUUAUAAAAUUCUUUUUUAUAAAUUUUGAAAUUUUAGUGAGUAGGAGGGUACAAUGGUGUGCGUAGAAGUGUUUGGUGUAAACCUGCAUGGAGCCGCCAUUGGUACAGAUCUUGGUGGUAGUAGCAAAUAAUCGAAUGAGACCUUGGAGGACUGAAGUGGAGAAGGGUUUCGUGUGAACAGUGGUUGAUCACGAGUUAGUCGGUCCUAAGUUCAAGGCGAAAGCCGAAAAAUUUUAAGUUAUAUUAAAAUUUAAUAUACUUAAUUUUUUGAACGAAAGGGAAUACGGUUCCAAUUCCGUAACCUGUUGAGUAUACGUUUGUUAUUAAAAAUGGGCUUUUAUGCUCAUCCUGGUAACAGAAACAACCAUAAAGAAGCCGUCGAGAAAUAUCGAAAGAGUUUUCUUUUCUGUUUCAUAGUCGUACUACCAUGGAAGUCUUUCGAAGAGAGAUAUGGUAGAUGGACUAGAAGAGCAUGGCAUUUACUGCUGUGUCGAUAUUUUCUCCUCGGACCUUGAAAAUUUAUGGUAGGGUCACGCAAACUUCUUAACAGGCCGUACCGAUAUCCGCAGCUGG